rnacentral:rRNA from 1 species
GACGGAGGAUGCAAGCGUUAUCCGGAAUGAUUGGGCGUAAAGCGUCCGCAGGCGGCAGUUCAAGUCUGCUGUCAAAGACCGGGGCUUAACUUCGGAAAGGCAGUGGAAACUGAACAGCUAGAGUAUGGUAGGGGCAGAGGGAAUUCCUGGUGUAGCGGUGAAAUGCGUAGAGAUCAGGAAGAACAUCGGUGGCGAAGGCGCUCUGCUGGACCAUAACUGACACUCAGGGACGAAAGCUAGGGGAGCGAAUGGG